AUUGAACGCUGGCGGCAGCCCUUACACAUGCAAGUCGAGCGAGAAAGUUUCUUCGGAAGCGAGUAAAGCGGCGGACGGGUGAGUAACGCGUAGGAAUCUACCAUUCAGUGGGGGAUAGCUCGGGGAAACCCGAAUUAAUACCGCAUAUACCCUAAGGGGGAAAGAGGGCCUAUCCUUGGAAGCUCUUGCUGUUUGAUGAGCCUGCGUGAGAUUAGUUUGUUGGUGAGGUAAUGGCUCACCAAGACUACGAUCUCUAGCUGGUCUGAGAGGACGAUCAGCCACACUGGGACUGAGACACGGCCCAGACUCCUACGGGAGGCAGCAGUGGGGAAUAUUGGACAAUGGGGGCAACCCUGAUCCAGGCAUGCCCGCGUGUGUGAAGAAGGCCUUCGGGUUGUAAAGCACUUUAGGUAAGGAAGAAAAGUUAUUGGUUAACACCCAAUGACCGUGACAUUACUUACAGAAUAAGGACCGGCUAACUCCGUGCCAGCAGCCGCGGUAAUACGGAGGGUCCAAGCGUUAAUCGGAAUUACUGGGCGUAAAGCGCGCGUAGGCGGUUUGACAAGUUGGGUGUGAAAUCCCCGGGCUUAACCUGGGAACUGCAUUCAAAACUUUUAAACUGGAGUACGGGAGAGGAGAGUAGAAUUCAUGGUGUAGCGGUGAAAUGCGUAGAUAUCAUGAGGAAUACCAAUGGCGAAGGCAACUCUCUGGACCGUAACUGACGCUGAGGUGCGAAAGCGUGGGUAGCAAACAGGAUUAGAUACCCUGGUAGUCCACGCCGUAAACGAUGACAACUAGCCGUUGGACUUUCGGGUUCAGUGGCACAGCUAACGCAUUAAGUUGUCCGCCUGGGGAGUACGGCCGCAAGGCUAAAACUCAAAUGAAUUGACGGGGGCCCGCACAAGCGGUGGAGCAUGUGGUUUAAUUCGAUGCAACGCGAAAAACCUUACCAACCCUUGACAUCUAGUGAAAUUUCUAGAGAUAGAUUUGUGCCUUCGGGAACACUAAGACAGGUGUUGCAUGGCUGUCGUCAGCUCGUGUCGUGAGAUGUAUGGUUAAGUCCAGUAACGAGCGCAACCCUUAUCCUUAUUUGCCAGCACUUCGGGUGGGAACUCUAAGGAGACUGCCGUGAAUAACACGGAGGAAGGUGGGGACGACGUCAAGUCAUCAUGGCCCUUACGGGUUGGGCUACACACGUGCUACAAUGGGAGAUACAAUGGGUUGCGAAAGCGCGAGCUGGAGCCAAUCCCACUAAGUCUUCCUUAGUCCGGAUUGGAGUCUGCAACUCGACUCCAUGAAGCAGGAAUCGCUAGUAAUCGCGAAUCAGAAUGUCGCGGUGAAUACGUUCUCGGGCCUUGUACACACCGCCCGUCACGUCAUGGGAGUGUGUUGUACCAGAAGUGGUUUGUCUAACCUUCGGGAGGACGGCCCCCACGGUAUGAUACGCGACUGGGACGAAGUCGUAACAAGGUAGCCCUAGGGGAACCUGGGGCUGGAUCACCUCCU
rnacentral:rRNA from 1 species